CGCGGCCUAUCAGCUUGUUGGUGAGGUAAAGGCUCACCAAGGCAAUGACGGGUAGCUGACGUGAGAGCGUGAUCAGCCACACUGGGACUGAGACACGGCCCAGGCUCCUACGGGAGGCAGCAGUGGGGAAUCUUGCACAAUGGGUGAAAACCCGAUGCAGCGACGCCGCGUGGGGGAGGAAGGCCCUAGGGCUGUAAACCCCUGUCAGGUGGGAAGAGCAGGAGGUCGGCCAACAGCCGCCCUCUCCGACGGUACCACCAGAGGAAGCUCCGGCUAACUCCGUGCCAGCAGCCGCGGUAAAACGGAGGGAGCGAGCGUUGUCCGGAAUCACUGGGCGUAAAGAGCGCGUAGGCGGCCGUGUGAGUCGCAUGUGAAAGGCCGGGGCUUAACCCCGCGUAUUGCAUGCGAUACUGCACGGCUAGAGAAAGGCAGGGGUGAGCGGAAUUCCCGGUGUAGCGGUGGAAUGCGUAGAUAUCGGGAGGAACACCAGUGGCGAAGGCGGCUCGCUAGGCCUAUUCUGACGCUGAAGCGCGAAAGCGUGGGGAGCAAACAGGAUUAGAUACCCUGUAGUCCACGCCGUAAACGCUGGGCACUAGACGUCGGGGGGCUUGGCCCCCUCGGUGUCGCAGUUAACGCAUUAAGUGCCCCGCCUGGGGAGUACGG
rnacentral:rRNA from 1 species